GACGAACGCUGGCGGCGUGCUUAACACAUGCAAGUCGAACGAUGAUGCUGGAGCUUGCUCCAGUUGAUUAGUGGCGAACGGGUGAGUAACACGUGAGCAAUCUGCCCUUGACUCUGGGAUAACUGCGGGAAACUGUAGCUAAUACCGGAUACUUUCACCGGAAGGCAUCUUCUGGUGAUGAAAGAAUUUCGGUCAGGGAUGAGCUCGCGGCCUAUCAGCUUGUUGGUGAGGUAACGGCUCACCAAGGCGACGACGGGUAGCCGGCCUGAGAGGGUGAUCCGCCACGCUGGGACGUGUACACGGCCCAGACUCCUACGGGAGGCAGCAGUGGUGAAUAUUGCACAAUGGGCGCAAGCCUGAUGCAGCAACGCCGCGUGAGGGACGACGGCCUUCGGGUUGUAAACCUCUUUUAGUAGGGAAGAAGCGAAAGUGACGGUACCUGCAGAGAAAGCACCGGCUAACUACGUGCCAGCCGCCGCAGUAA
rnacentral:rRNA from 1 species